rnacentral:misc_RNA from 1 species
AAGUCGUAACAAGGUAACCGCGGUUGGAUCAUUAACAAAUGAUUUCGUUUUGAACCAAAACACUAUGUGCAACUACAUCUGUUUCUGGUGGUUUUUGUGUAUUUCUCUCUUGCCCAAUGCUCCCAAACGUCAAAUUUGUGUCGAUGUUCACUCAAGCACGGGUAGAAAAUAGCAUAAGGAGAUCGCGGCCACCGAAUGACCAAUCAACUUUUUGCAUUUUUUUUUUGUCUGAAUCGUUCACAUUUUGUGCAAUGAAAAACCAUUUUUAACAACGGAUCUCUUGGUUCUC